rnacentral:pre_miRNA from 1 species
AGCCUUCUGUAUUCCUGCUGAGAUUUUGUCACGCCAGAUCACAAUGGCUGAUGAGACUCCCAAGAUAAGUGGAGCG